rnacentral:rRNA from 1 species
UUUGACCGUGCGAAGGUAGCGCAAUCACUUGUCUUUUAAAUGAAGACCCGUAUGAAUGGCAUAACGAGGGCUUAGCUGUCUCCUCUUUCAAGUCAAUGAAAUUGAUCUUUCCGUGCAGAAGCGGGAAUUCAAACAUAAGACGAGAAGACCCUAUGGAGCUUUAGACACUAAGACAGCUUACGUUAAAUACCCUAAAAUAAAAGGAAAAAACCAAAUAAGCUCUGCCCUAAUGUCUUUGGUUGGGGCGACCGCGGGGAACUAAAUAACCCCCACGUGGAGCGGGAAAACUUCUCCUACAGCUAAGAGCUACAGCUCUAAUAAACAGAAAUUCUGACCAGCAAGAUCCGGCAAUGCCGAUCAACGGACCGAGUUACCCUAGGGAUAACAGCGCAAUCCUCUUUUAGAGCCCAUAUCGACAAGGGGGUUUACGACCUCGAUGUUGGAUCAGGACAUCCUAAUGGUGCAACCGCUAUUAAGGGUUC